rnacentral:lncRNA from 1 species
GGGUCUCUUUGUGCACCCGCCCACACGGUUUGCCGUGUUUUCACCCUUCUUUGUUCUCCACCGGUCUGGGCAGGGUCUGAGGACUCCGGAGAGCAAGGCAUGGGUCCGCCUCGUGCCGCAGGUUCCUGGCCCACGCCAGCCGUACCCAGUAGCACAAUGGUAAGCGCAUGCUGGCGAGAGGGAUUUGAGGACACACGCCAGCUGCCUACACCUGAAGAAAGGGUGAGCUCUGAGGACUUCACAGGGGCCCCAUCCCCUCACCUAGAUGAGGGCUAACCUUGGAAUCCAGACAAAGGUGGAAGUGACCUAGAUGUGACCUGAAUGAGCUAAUCAUCUAAUGAGAGCCAGCCCUUUGUCCUGCCCACAUGAAGGUGGGUGGUUAGCUCACUUUUCAGGGUAAUAAAGCAGUAAAGGCGGGGUGGAGGGGUUGUUGAAGGCUUUGUAUGAUGUCACUAGGGCCUGUAAAGUUAGCACAAUGAACCCGCUGUGCAGAUUGUAAAGCUGACCUUGUUGGAAUAUCCUGGUUUUAGAAACACAUAAAUCAGCUUUGUGUUUGCUGUUCCCCUGCUGAAAAUGUUCUUCUGAAUUUUCAGGGCUUUGCUGCUACGCACUGACAAGUUGGACGGCUUUUUAUUGCUUUGUUGCCAGUUAUCUGAACAUGAGAGGCUGUAAGGUGUAAUCUGCGAGCCCUGCGCCCAGACUGAACCAGGGCCUCCCUUGAACAUGAGUAUUAGACAAAUGAAAUAAGAACUUAUCUUGCCCAGACUAUAUAAUGGCUUGGAAAUGCAUAGUUUCCUGAACGAUCUCAAUAAAAUACUUUUAAAAGUACUUAAA